GUGGGAAUAAGCAGCCGGACAUGUUGUUUGAAGCCCUGCUAGUCACACUGAUACCAGUGGCGUUUUCAGGUGGAGGAGACAUUGCUCCCUGGGAGCCACCAGCAACAAAUGCAAUUUUGAAUGAUGGCUUGGGCUCAAGAUAUUCAACAUGUGGGAAGAGGCAGGUAACAUAUGU